AUUGAACGCUGGCGGCAGGCCUAACACAUGCAAGUCGAGCGGAUGAAGGGAGCUUGCUCCUGGAUUCAGCGGCGGACGGGUGAGUAAUGCCUAGGAAUCUGCCUGGUAGUGGGGGAUAACGUCCGGAAACGGGCGCUAAUACCGCAUACGUCCUGAGGGAGAAAGUGGGGGAUCUUCGGACCUCACGCUAUCAGAUGAGCCUAGGUCGGAUUAGCUAGUUGGUGGGGUAAAGGCCUACCAAGGCGACGAUCCGUAACUGGUCUGAGAGGAUGAUCAGUCAAGCAGGAACACGGAGACGGGCAGAGUGAGAAGGGGAGGAGGGAGUGGAGAAGAUGGGAGAGGGGGAGAAAGACGGAACAGGCCGUGCGGGGGGUGGGAAGGAGGUUACGGAAUUGAAAAGAACUGUAAGUUGGGAGGAUGGGAAUGAAGUAAAGACCUUGUGGUAUUGAAGUAACCAAAAGAAAAAGCACCGGCUAAGCGCGUGAAAUCAGCCGAGGUAAUGAUAGAAGCGAACACGUCUGAAC
rnacentral:rRNA from 1 species